rnacentral:rRNA from 1 species
GACGAACGCUGGCGGCGUGCUUAACACAUGCAAGCGGAGCGACGAACCAGGCUUCGGCCUGGGGCAGAGCCGCGAACGGGGUGAGUAACACGUGGGUAACGUGCCCCAAUGACUGGGACAACCCGAGGAAACUCGGGCUAAUACCGGAUAUGCCCCCUCACGAGAGUGAGGUGUGUAAAGGAAGCUUCGGCCUCCGCAUUGGGAUCGGCCCGCGGCGCAUUAGCUUGUUGGUGGGGUAACGGCCACCAAGGCAACGAUGCGUAGCUGGUCUGAGAGGACGAUCAGCCACACUGGGACUGAGACACGGCCCAGACUCCUACGGGAGGCAGCAGUGGGGAAUCUUGCGCAAUGCGCGAAAGCGUGACGCAGCAACGCCGC